AGAUAUAAAUCUUUUUAAGAAAUAGAAUUGAUUGGAGAGGGGGAAGGAGCACCCUGAAGCCUGAGUCAUGACAGUUAAAGAUUUGUAUGCCUUCAUGUUGGGAAAGACUGUUGGAUCUGGAGCUAGAGGUCUUGAAUUUAAAUCCUGACUCUGCUGCUGACUAUGGAUGUAAAUCUGGGCAAGUGACUUACUCCAUAUGGGACUCAAGCUUUGACUAUAAAAUUGGACUUAGAUGGCCCUAAAGGUCUCUUCUAUAAAGAUCAAUAAGCAAGGAUUUAUUGAGUCCCCACAAUGGCCUUAGCACUGGUUUUAAAGCUGUUGUGACCAGUGUAAGAAACAUCUAUGACAUGGACCUAGUGCUCAUGGUGCUUGCAGUCUCACUGAAGAGAAAAGUCACUCUUUGUUUCCUCAUCUGUAAAGUAAGGGAGUUGGUACCUCCAAAAUCUCUUGCAUCGUGAAAUCUUCUGAUCCUAUGGUUACAGGAGAAGAAAAAAAUUAUUGAAAGAGCAUGAGUUGUCAUCACUCAGUACAUAUUCUAUGAAAUCUUGAUAGAUUGAAUGAAGGGUUCG